rnacentral:rRNA from 1 species
CGAUUGGAUUGCACGUCUAAGCAGUAAGGCUGAGUAUUAGGCAAAUCCGGUACUCGUUAAGGCUGAGCUGUGAUGGGGAGAAGACAUUGUGUCUUCGAGUCGUUGAUUUCACACUGCCGAGAAAAGCCUCUAGAUAGAAAAUAGGUGCCCGUACCGCAAACCGACACAGGUAGUCAAGAUGAGAAUUCUAAGGUGAGCGAGCGAACUCUCGUUAAGGAACUCGGCAAAAUGACCCCGUAACUUCGGGAGAAGGGGUGCUCUUUAGGGUUAACGCCCAGAAGAGCCGCAGUGAAUAGGCCCAAGCGACUGUUUAUCAAAAACACAGGUCUCUGCUAAACCGUAAGGUGAUGUAUAGGGGCUGACGCCUGCCCGGUGCUGGAAGGUUAAGAGGAGUGGUUAGCUUCUGCGAAGCUACGAAUCGAAGCCCCAGUAAACGGCGGCCGUAACUAUAACGGUCCUAAGGUAGCGAAAUUCCUUGUCGGGUAAGUUCCGACCC